UCCUCUCACGGUCUCGCUCCACAGUAGGAGCCGUCACACAGAAAGAGGCCACGCAUCCUCGUUUUGGAGAGCCCAUCUCCUUCCAAAAAAAAAAAGAGCACUCCGCAUCUCUCCACUUUCAUGCAUUAGAGAUAGAAAGCAACGGCAACAUUAAGGAGGGCGUGCGGGGGUCCCUGCGAGACUGCAAUUGAUCGAUGGUUGAGAGCGCUGCUUGGGUACGAAGAGAUCUGAGAUAAAUGCUCGUCAGUAGUGGAUUUGGUCCAUUCUUGGCGGCGAAGGAGAAGACAGAGAAAAAAAAGGAGGGUUAGGAGGAAGAAAGGAGAAUGAGUAGAGUGAAGAGAAAGCAAGAGCAGCGAAGAGGUCUCCUCCCUCAAAAGGGCGGCAGGCCUCUACGCCCGAGCUAAAGAAAGAGGGGAAGAGAGCAUUGGUCUCCAAGGCAAAGGCAUCCGGUUCUCUCGGCAUGGAAGAAGGCGCCGCGGCGUCGGCAAUGGCGGCGGUGGCGGAGGAGGAGGAGACGGCGACGGCCUACUGCUGGUGGUGGUGGUGGUGGUGGAAGGCUACAGACGCAAGAUGAUUGAGGUUUUCUUCUUUGUUUUGAGGUGUAUGUCCGCUUUUGGAACCGGGAUAUUGGCGUAAUAGGCUCAAUCACUUUUUUUUAAAAAUAUAUGUAUAUAUUGUUUUGGUGGUUUUGUUUUUAUUUUUGUUUUCAAAUUCUACUUUGUCUUCUUGUUCUUCUGUACGUCUAUAGCGUUGGUUUGAUCAUGUGAAUGAGAUGUGGGCAUGUUGCCAUAUAAA